AGAGCCCUGAGGAGAGGCAGGGGAUGGCUCAACUGAGUGAGCACCCCUGAAGCUGAUGCUAGAGGCGUGGGAAUGUGGGGGGCUCGGUGAAGGUGAUGACACUCCAUCAGGAGCUCCUGGAUCCAGUGUAGCCUGUGGAUUUCAUCUGAAAGUGAUGGGAGCCCUUGGGAGGGGACAUGAGUGGCAAGGUCCCUUGGCUGCGAGGCUGCCAGGAACACUCAUGUCCCCCAUGGGGCCACUCUCAUCAAGGCCAGGCUGGCGGGAGGAGACCAAGGCCACAUGGGCGGUCAGCCUCCAAGCAGCGGGGCAGCCAGGGGCCCAGGCCAGCUGCUCACCCGGAGGCGGGAGGGCCGUGGUCAGAGGGUGCUGGGUACUGAGUGCUGGGUGCUACCCGAAUACUGCAGAGUCCUCCUGGAGGAGUCUCCUGAGAGCCGAGCGUGCAGUUCUGGGAACUGCCCAGGUGGUGGGCACAGCUGUGCUCCAGGAACUCAUUCCUUGACAGAAAGCACACCCAAGCCCUAAAUCCUUUUUAAAAAAAAGUCGAAAAACACACAGGAGCUGAAAAUGAGAAGAAUUCUGCUGAAACGGCCAGUGCACCGCCAAAGGACGGCCUCCCUGAAGGCCACACGGAGGGCUCUGGGCAAGCCAGCAGGACUCUGCCUGAGGGUGCCCUUGCCUACAGCCACCACCCCUCUGAGCCUGGCACUAUCAGCCCUGCUCACGUGCCAGGUUCCCGGCUGUUGGCAUCAUGAGGCCCACUGUGUUGGAGGGUGAGGUGCCACCUGGCCUUGCCGUCCUGGGAUCCACUGUCUCCCAUGGGCAUAGGGAGACCAGCUUCCAGCAGCAUCGCCCACUGUCAGCAGGGCCACGGAGAGGACACUAGAGCCUGUCACCUCGGGAGUGUCCCCUUGGGCAGCCAGGGUGGGUUCUGGGGUCGCAGGUGACAGCCCGCACGGCACCUCUGGGUCUUCCUCAGCCCUGGGAGGGGUCCAGCAUCUGAGUUCUUGGGGGUGGGUCCUGAUGAGAGGAUGGGGGAAGGGCAGGACUGUGUGCCUGGGCCUGGGCUGUGUGAUCCUGAGCUGGGCUCCGCCUGCAUCGCUCGCAGGCGAUGGUCACUGUGCUCGUUUGGUCUCGGCAGACCCUGGACCCGCCCUCGCAGACUAAGGAGCAAGCACGACCAGGCUGUGGGGUCCCCGAAGGACACUAAUGAGACGCACCUGUGGAAGUCCAGCGGGCCCUUCAGGCGGGGUCCUGAGUCCUGCCCACGUCCGCCCUCUCUGGGGUUAAGAUGCAGACGGUGGAAGCAGGACGCUGAACCUCUCAGCUCCAGCUUCCUGCGGACGUCCGGCUGCUCCCAUGUCGUUGCUGACUUCUUCCUCUCUGAUGGGGAUGCCCGGAGAGCGGGCUUCCCUGUACAGCCUGACCGGACUGCGGAAACCGCUGGGGCCCAUCUGUCGCCAGGGUGCUGGUGACCUGUGAGCGAGGUCCAGCCCCGCCACCACCGAGGCCUGGGAGAGAGGCAGGCCUGGCUCAGGGUAUUGAGUCGCAGCAUUGAAGGCA
rnacentral:lncRNA from 1 species